rnacentral:rRNA from 1 species
AUUGAACGCUGGCGGCAGGCCUAACACAUGCAAGUCGAGCGGAUGAAGGGAGCUUGCUCCUGGAUUCAGCGGCGGACGGGUGAGUAAUGCCUAGGAAUCUGCCUGGUAGUGGGGGGUAACGUCCGGAAACGGGCGCUAAUACCGCAUACGUCCUGAGGGAGAAAGUGGGGGAUCUUCGGACCUCACGCUAUCAGAUGAGCCUAGGUCGGAUUAGCUAGUUGGUGGGGUAAAGGCCUACCAAGGCGACGAUCCGUAACUGGUCUGAGAGGAUGAUCAGUCACACUGGAACUGAGACACGGUCCAGACUCCUACGGGAGGCAGCAGUGGGGAAUAUUGGACAAUGGGCGAAAGCCUGAUCCAGCCAUGCCGCGUGUGUGAAGAAGGUCUUCGGAUUGUAAAGCACUUUAAGCUGGGAGGAAGGGCAGUAAGUUAAUACCUUGCUGUUUUGACGUUACCAACAGAAUAAGCACCGGCUAACUUCGUG